rnacentral:rRNA from 1 species
UACGUAGGAGGCAAGCGUUGUCCGGAAUCAUUGGGCGUAAAGAGCGUGUAGGCGGCUUGGUAAGUCCGCUGUGAAAGUCCAGGGCUCAACCCUGGAAAGCCGGUGGAAACUGUCAAGCUUGAGUCCGGAAGAGGCGAGUGGAAUUCCUGGUGUAGCGGUGAAAUGCGCAGAUAUCAGGAGGAACACCAAUGGCGAAGGCAGCUCGCUGGGACGGUACUGACGCUGAGACGCGAAAGCGUGGGGAGCAAACAGG